GACUGCGUAGCUCAGUUGGCAGAGCAUUGGGCUAGUAUUCCAAAGGUCGUAGGUUCGAUUCCCACUGUGGCCA
rnacentral:tRNA from 1 species